rfam:Flavobacterium frigoris strain DSM 15719 genome assembly, contig: Ga0131223_101
AAAUAGACCCGAUAGUAGUGAAAAUCCUUUUUGUUCGUCUUUUUUGGCGGACAAAAAGAUUGAAGCGAAUAGCGGGACAACUG